ACGGCGAAUAAAGUUUGUUGAGGAUUUUUGUUUUCUUCCGAUGACCGAAUGUACGCCGCGUAUUAGAUCGGCGUCUUGUUAAAUUACACGAACCGGCAGGUCCCUUUCAUUGCAUAUGUGUCAUUUAAUUGAAGUAUACCCUCAGACAUGGAUGACAAUUCCAAAGAGAAGAUCAGCCGCUUAAGCCACCCAGAAAAAGAGGAGAAGACCCAUAAGAGCAGAGGGAAAGAGAAAAGGAAAAGAAGACGGAGUAGAAGCAGGUCAUCCUCUAGUUCAUCCAGAUCAUCGUCAACAUCAUCUUCAUCAACACGUUCUUCAUCUUCAGCUAGUACAAGCAGAUCAAGCAGUAACGAUUCAAAUGAUGGUUCUAAAGGCAAGAAAAGAAAGAAGGAGAAAAAUAAACAAAAA